rnacentral:rRNA from 1 species
CGCUGGCGGCGUGCCUAACACAUGCAAGUCGAGCGAGGAGAUUCCUUCGGGAUGAUCCUAGCGGCGGACGGGUGAGUAACACGUGGGCAACCUGCCUCAUAGAGAGGAAUAGCCUUCCGAAAGGGAGAUUAAUACCUCAUAACAUUGUAGUUUCGCAUGGAACAGCAAUUAAAGGAGUAAUCCGCUAUGAGAUGGGCCCGCGGCGCAUUAGCUAGUUGGUGAGGUAACGGCUCACCAAGGCGACGAUGCGUAGCCGACCUGAGAGGGUGAUCGGCCACAUUGGGACUGAGACACGGCCCAGACUCCUACGGGAGGCAGCAGUGGGGAAUAUUGCACAAUGGGGGAAACCCUGAUGCAGCCAACGCCGCGUGAGUGAUGACGGCCUUCGGGUUGUAAAGCUCUGUCUUCAGGGACGAUAAUGACGGUACCUGAGGAGGAAGCCACGGCUAACUACGUGCCAGCAGCAGC